rnacentral:rRNA from 1 species
UACGGGGGGGGGCAAGCGUUGUUCGGAAUUACUGGGCGUAAAGGGCUCGUAGGUGGCCAACUAAGUCAGACGUGAAAUCCCUCGGCUUAACCGGGGAACUGCGUCUGAUACUGGAUGGCUUGAGUUUGGGAGAGGGACGCGGAAUUCCCGGUGUAGCGGUGAAAUGCGCAGAUAUCGGGAGGAACACCAAUGGCGAAGGCAGCUCGCUGGGACGGUACUGACGCUGAGACGCGAAAGCGUGGGGAGCAAACAGG